rnacentral:rRNA from 1 species
CCUACGGGAGGCAGCAGUGAGGAAUAUUGGUCAAUGGGCGCGAGCCUGAACCAGCCAAGUCGCGUGAGGGAGGACGGCCCUACGGGUUGUAAACCUCUUUUGCCGGGGAGCAACGGGCGCCACGUGUGGCGCCACUGAGAGUACCCGGAGAAAAAGCAUCGGCUAACUCCGUGCCAGCAGCCGCGGUAAUACGGAGGAUGCGAGCGUUAUCCGGAUUUAUUGGGUUUAAAGGGUGCGUAGGUUGUUUUUUAAGUCAGUGGUGAAAGUUUGUGGCUCAACCAUAGAAUUGCCGUUGAAACUGGAAGACUUGAGUGUGUGUGAGGUAGGCGGAAUGCGUGGUGUAGCGGUGAAAUGCAUAGAUAUCACGCAGAACUCCGAUUGCGAAGGCAGCUUACUAGGCCAUAACUGACACUGAAGCACGAAAGCGUGGGGAUCAAACAGGAUUAGAUACCCGUGUAGUC